UGGCCUGUUGGUGAAGCGGUUAACACACACGGUUUUCAUCCGUGGACACACGGGUUCGAACCCCGUACAGGCUACCAU
rnacentral:tRNA from 1 species